GCUGAGAAAGGGGCUUACGCUACCCCGGGUGAGGGCGGGGGAAUCACGGCGCCGUGGCCCUCCACUGGCUCCUUCUGCCUUGGCAAAGGCCAACUCCCGAUGACCCCAACAGCCUUGCGGGGCCAGCAGCAUGAUUGCGUGGAAGGUUCACGCCUGGUUCGCCAGGCCUGGCCUUGAUCAAGUCACUUCCCCACCCUGAGCAGGUGCUUCCCAGGGAGGAGGGGAACUCUGUCCACAGCCUCUGCCUUCUGUGUUUCCAGCCAGCCUCUGUGUUUAUCUCACGGCGGAAGUCAGCGGAUGAAUGAAACAAUAUGACCCAAAUAACCGAAGUGUGGGGUAACCUUUCCAGGGCUGGUCUGGGGAAGGGACGGUGAGGACAGAAGGCUGACACUAGGCACUGACCACAGCCUCUGAGCAGGUACCUUCUCGCCAUCACCCUCCACCAGCUAUCUGUGGGGCCGACAUUGAUAAACCCAUUUCACAGAUGCAGACCUGGAGGCAUGGGAAAGGCAGCAGGCCCUGCGUCGGGAAGGAGGCACCUGGGGCUCAGAGGAGAAGCCAGCAGAGGAGGGCGUCUCAACCCUGACGGCCUGAUCAAAGCUAGCAGAAUGAGAUGAGGCUCCUGUAGAUAAAACAGAACCUGAUUUGGGCCGGGCAACGGCAAAGGCAACUAGAGUGAGCAUCCUGGCGGCUCACUGACUCUGGCAGAGGCGGCGGCAGGCGCGGCAGAGGCGCCCUGCGUGGAGACCACAGCACGGACUGUACGGAGGGGCCACCAACAGCCAGGCCUCUCCCCAAACACCACACCGAGGGGCAGAGGUCACGUGAUAAGAAUCGAGGACAGUCCUCCGAGUUCUAACAAAGCCCUGGAUGUCUGCACAGGCUGCUAUAGCUUGUAAAGAUACAGCUACUUCCAUCCUGCAGCAGGGAAACCAAGGUGGAGGAAGUUUCCAUGCCUUUCUCAAGAGUGCAAGGUGAGUACUCGGGGGACCUGGGGCCGGGCCCCCCUUCCACGCCCCAACCUCCCCAGCCUCUCUGUGAGGGCGGCGAGGCAGGGCGCCACCAUCGCUGCCCACACAGCCGUUCAUCACAGUAGCCACCACCAUCGUCCCCGUCCUCACCACCACGACAUCGCCGCUGUACAGAAUCCCCGCCAUCACCAUCAUCCUCACAAAAGAGGAAAAGGGCUGAAGAAACAGUCCACACCUUUCCAUUUUGUCAGGUGCCCAGGGAAAGGGUUAUCCUCGCUCAGAGGCCUGGUUCUCACACAUC